rnacentral:rRNA from 1 species
AAAUGACUGCUAAUACCGCAUAAGCGCACAGUACCGCAUGGUAGUGUGUGAAAAACUCCGGUGGUAUAAGAUGGACCCGCGUCUGAUUAGCCAGUUGGCGGGGUAACGGCCCACCAAAGCGACGAUCAGUAGCCGACCUGAGAGGGUGACCGGCCACAUUGGGACUGAGACACGGCCCAAACUCCUACGGGAGGCAGCAGUGGGGAAUAUUGCACAAUGGGGGAAACCCUGAUGCAGCAACGCCGCGUGAGUGAAGAAGUAUUUCGGUAUGUAAAGCUCUAUCAGCAGGGAAGAAGAUGACGGUACCUGAUUAAGAAGCCCCGGCUAACUACGUGCCAGCAGCCGCGGUAAUACGUAGGGGGCAAGCGUUAUCCGGAUUUACUGGGUGUAAAGGGAGCGCAGACGGCAGUGCAAGUCUGGAGUGAAAGCCCGGGGCCCAACCCCGGAACUGCUCUGGAAACUGUGCGGCUAGAGUACUGGAGGGGCAGGCGGAAUUCCUAGUGUAGCGGUGAAAUGCGUAGAUAUU